CUUUAUGUCCCACCUUAACUCAAAAAGACACUGACAUAGCGUAAUACUGUUAGAAAAUUUAUUCCCUUUUGAUACAUAAAAAAACCCCAUAAGAGAAACCCUUACACGAUCUUGUGGUGGAAAGCAUGAGUGUUACAAUGUACAAGCCAGAGUUGAUGUUGUUACCACUCCAUUGAUAGUUGCUUGCACACCGGUCCUGUGCACUCGGACCGAUGUCUACCCUGGAGCGCCUGCUGUCAUGUACUGCUGUACUUGCCUUCACAAAUUCAAAUACAGAAAUCCCGC